UCACUUUGACAGCACAUAUACUCACAUGGAAACUAUGCAAAGACAACUAGAAUGGCCCCUUCACAAGGAUAACAUGCACAUUCAUGAAGUAUUUCAUAUUUUA